AGCGAACGCUGGCGGCAGGCUUAACACAUGCAAGUCGAGCGGGCAUCUUCGGGUGUCAGCGGCGGACGGGUGAGUAACGCGUGGGAACGUGCCUUCUGGUUCGGAAUAACUCAGGGAAACUUGAGCUAAUACCGGAUACGCCCUUUUGGGGAAAGGUUUACUGCCGGAAGGUCGGCCCGCGUCUGAUUAGCUAGUUGGUGGGGUAACGGCCUACCAAGGCGACGAUCAGUAGCUGGUCUGAGAGGAUGAUCAGCCACACUGGGACUGAGACACGGUCCAGACUCCUACGGGAGGCAGCAGUGGGGAAUAUUGGACAAUGGGGGCAACCCUGAUCCAGCCAUGCCGCGUGAGUGAUGAAGGCCUAGGGUUGUAAAGCUCUUUUAUCCGGGACGAUAAUGACGGUACCGGAGGAAUAAGCCCCGGCUAACUUCGUGCCAGCCGCCGCCGUAA
rnacentral:rRNA from 1 species